rnacentral:rRNA from 1 species
UUCCGGUUGAUCCCGCCGGAGGCCAUUGCUAUCGGAGUCCGAUUUAGCCAUGCUAGUCGCACGGGUUUAGACCCGUGGCGGAGAGCUCAGUAACACGUGGCCAAACUGCCCUAUGGAUCGAGACAACCUCGGGAAACUGAGGUUAAUCUCGAAUAAGGCUUCCACUCUGGAGUGAGGGGAGCUGGAAACGCUCCGGCGCCAUAGGAUGUGGCUGCGGCCGAUUAGGUAGACGGUGGGGUAACGGCCCACCGUGCCGAUAAUUGGUACGGGUUGUGAGAGCAAGAGCCCGGAGACGGAUUCUGAGACAAGAAUCCGGGCCCUACGGGGCGCAGCAGGCGCGAAAACUUUACACUGCACGACAGUGCAAUAAGGGGACUCCGAGUGCGAGGGCAUAUAGUCCUCGCUUUUGUACACCGUAAGAUGGUGUACGAAUAAGAGCUGGGCAAGACCGGUGCCAGCCGCCGCGGUAAUACCGGCAGCUCAAGUGAUGGCCGCUAUUAUUGGGCCUAAAGCGUCCGUAGCCGGCCAGACAGGUCUGUCGGGAAAUCCACUUGCUUAACGAGUGGCGUCCGGCGGAAACCAGCUGGCUUGGGGCCGGAAGAUCUGAGGGGUACGUCCGGGGUAGGAGUGAAAUCCUGUAAUCCUGGACGGACCGCCGGUGGCGAAAGCGCCUCAGAAAGACGGACCCGACGGUGAGGGACGAAAGCUAGGGUCACGAACCGGAUUAGAUACCCGGGUAGUCCUAGCUGUAAACGAUGCUCGCUAGGUGUGGCGCUGGCUACGAGCCAGCGCUGUGCCGUAGGGAAGCCGAGAAGCGAGCCGCCUGGGAAGUACGUCCGCAAGGAUGAAACUUAAAGGAAUUGGCGGGGGAGCACUACAACCGGAGGAGCCUGCGGUUUAAUUGGAUUCAACGCCGGG